rnacentral:rRNA from 1 species
AUUUUUCGCUGGCGGCAUGCCUUACACAUGCAAGUCGAACGGCAGCACGGAGCUUGCUCUGGUGGCGAGUGGCGAACGGGUGAGUAAUAUAUCGGAACGUACCCUAGAGUGGGGGAUAACGUAGCGAAAGUUACGCUAAUACCGCAUACGAUCUAAGGAUGAAAGUGGGGGAUCGCAAGACCUCAUGCUCGUGGAGCGGCCGAUAUCUGAUUAGCUAGUUGGUAGGGUAAAAGCCUACCAAGGCAUCGAUCAGUAGCUGGUCUGAGAGGACGACCAGCCACACUGGAACUGAGACACGGUCCAGACUCCUACGGGAGGCAGCAGUGGGGAAUUUUGGACAAUGGGCGAAAGCCUGAUCCAGCAAUGCCGCGUGAGUGAAGAAGGCCUUCGGGUUGUAAAGCUCUUUUGUCAGGGAAGAAACGGUGAGAGCUAAUAUCUCUUGCUAAUGACGGUACCUGAAGAAUAAGCACUGGCUAACUACGUGCCAGCAGCCGCGGUAAUACGUAGGGUGCAAGCGUUAAUCGGAAUUACUGGGCGUAAAGCGUGCGCAGGCGGUUUUGUAAGUCUGAUGUGAAAUCCCCGGGCUCAACCUGGGAAUUGCAUUGGAGACUGCAAGGCUAGAAUCUGGCAGAGGGGGGUAGAAUUCCACGUGUAGCAGUGAAAUGCGUAGAUAUGUGGAGGAACACCGAUGGCGAAGGCAGCCCCCUGGGUCAAGAUUGACGCUCAUGCACGAAAGCGUGGGGAGCAAACAGGAUUAGAUACCCUGGUAGUCCACGCCCUAAACGAUGUCUACUAGUUGUCGGGUCUUAAUUGACUUGGUAACGCAGCUAACGCGUGAAGUAGACCGCCUGGGGAGUACGGUCGCAAGAUUAAAACUCAAAGGAAUUGACGGGGACCCGCACAAGCGGUGGAUGAUGUGGAUUAAUUCGAUGCAACGCGAAAAACCUUACCUACCCUUGACAUGGCUGGAAUCCUUGAGAGAUCAGGGAGUGCUCGAAAGAGAACCAGUACACAGGUGCUGCAUGGCUGUCGUCAGCUCGUGUCGUGAGAUGUUGGGUUAAGUCCCGCAACGAGCGCAACCCUUGUCAUUAGUUGCUACGAAAGGGCACUCUAAUGAGACUGCCGGUGACAAACCGGAGGAAGGUGGGGAUGACGUCAAGUCCUCAUGGCCCUUAUGGGUAGGGCUUCACACGUCAUACAGUGGUACAUACGGAGCGCCGCCAACCCGCGAGGGGGAGCUAAUCGCAGAAAGUGUAUCGUAGUCCGGAUUGUAGUCUGCAACUCGACUGCAUGAAGUUGGAAUCGCUAGUAAUCGCGGAUAAACAUGUCGCGGUGAAUACGUUCCCGGGUCU